CCUACGGGGGGCAGCAGUAGGGAAUAUUGCUCAAUGGGGGAAACCCUGAAGCAGCAACGCCGCGUGGAGGAUGAAGGUUUUCGGAUUGUAAACUCCUUUCGUUAGAGAAGAUAAUGACUGUAUCUAACGAAUAAGCACUGGCUAACGCCGUGCCAGCAGCCGCGGUAAUACGGAGGGUGCAAGCGUUACUCGGAAUCACUGGGCGUAAAGAGCGCGUAGGCGGGAUAGCAAGUCACAGGUGAAAUCCUAUGGCUUAACCAUGGAACUGCAUUUGAAACUGGUCUUCUAGAGUAUGGGAGAGGUAGGUGGAAUUCUAGGUGUAGGGGUAAAAUCCGUAGAGAUCUGGAGGAAUACUCGUUGCGAAGGCGACCAGCUAGAACAUAACUGACGCUGAGGCGCGAAAGCGUGGGGAGCAAACAGGAUUAGAUACCCGAGUAGUC
rnacentral:rRNA from 1 species